rnacentral:rRNA from 1 species
UACGUAGGGUGCAAGCGUUGUCCGGAAUUAUUGGGCGUAAAGGGCUCGUAGGCGGCCAACUAAGUCAUACGUGAAAUCCCUCAGCUUAACUGGGGAACUGCGUGUGAUACUGGAUGGCUUGGAUUUGGGAGGGGGAUGCGGAAUUCCAGGUGUAGCGGUGAAAUGCGUAGAUAUCUGGAGGAACACCGGUGGCGAAGGCGGCAUCCUGGACCGGCAUUGACGCUGAGGCGCGAAAGCUAGGGGAGCAAACGGG